AGAUAAAAAAAAAAAAAAAGUAUAUUAUUUUAAAGAGAGAUGGUGACCUGAAAAUCAUGCCAAAUAGGACUAUGCUGAAGCCC
ensembl:snoRNA SNORD115 Small nucleolar RNA SNORD115